AACGCACAUUGCGCCCUCUGGUAUUCCGGGGGGCAUGCCUGUUCGAGCGUCAUUUCACCACUCCAGCCUCGCUGGGCCUUGGGCGCCGCUGCUCCGUCGGCGCGCCCUAAUGUCUCCGGCUGAGCCGUCCGUCUCAAAGCGUUGUGGCAACUCAAUCCGCUUGUGGGACCGGGGGGUUCGUCGCCGUCAAAACACACCAUUUUACCAGGUUGACCUCGGAUCAGGUAGGGAUACCCGCUGAACUUAA
rnacentral:misc_RNA from 1 species